CCCAGCCAUGCAGCAGCAGGCUCAAAUAUUAAAUCAGUUCUAUUUAGACACACAAGAGAGGAAUGGCAAAAACAGAGGCAAUACCAUACACCAAUUAUAUUGUCCCCAUCCUUCUACUGAUUGGCUGGAUUGUGGGUUGUGUACUCAUGGUUUACUUUGUCUUCUCUUAAAAGAGGGAAAGAAGCCUUUGCAAAGGAGCUUGUAAACUUGAUGAAGAUGUCCAUCUCUCAUUUUAAAAAUAUGCAGUGGAAACAAUACUUCCAUAUUAAUAAAAUAAAGUCUUGAGACACACAUUUGUAAAAGACGGGAAUGGUGAACAAAUAUCCAAAGCUGUUUUAUAAAUUCAAAUCACUGGAUACCACAUGUAGUGUCGCGGACUGAGUGUUGGACUAGGACUCAGGUAACCUUGC